ensembl:lncRNA
GUUUCAGUUACCUUCUGUGUCUUUGGCCACAACGCUUCAGUGACAGGAAUGUGAAAUAGCAAACAGGGGAACAAAUAAAAGGCAUGACUUUAUUUGCAUCCAGCUAGCCAACUCUAUUAUAGGUGUUCCACAGCCAAGACUCUUAUUAGAAUAGAAAAUAGCAAGGGUUCGAAUAAAUAGUUUAUUAAUCAUUUAAUUUCACUUUCUUAAUGAAUAUUGUUCUGUGUAUGUGAUUUCAAAUCUUGAUGCUUCGGAUUAACCCGUUAAUUGCCGUAUCCCUUAAAACCUGAGUGCCAGAGGAUUACUGUAAAUGCAUGUGCCCGCUGGGCACAGUUUACCUGAUGCCACCGG